rnacentral:rRNA from 1 species
UUCCUACGGGAGGCAGCAGUAGGGAAUAUUGGGCAAUGGUCGGAAGACUGACCCAGCCAUGCCGCGUGAAGGAUGAAGGGUCUACGACUUGUAAACUUCUUUAGCUAGGGAAGAAAAAGAGAGUGCGCUCUUUAUUGACGGUACCUAGAGAAUAAGCACCGGCUAACUACGUGCCAGCAGCCGCGGUAAUACGUAGGGUGCAAGCGUUGUCCGGAUUUAUUGGGUUUAAAGGGUGCGCAGGCGGCCUAUUAAGUCAGUGUUGAAAUACGGAGGCUCAACCUCCGGUCCGGCACUGAUACUGAUAGGCUUGAGUUUACUGGAGGCAGGCGGAAUUUAUGGUGUAGCGGUGAAAUGCAUAGAUACCAUAAAGAACACCGAUAGCGAAGGCAGCUUGCCGUGGUAUAACUGACGCUCAGGCACGAAAGUGUGGGGAUCAAACAGGAUUAGAUACCCUGGUAGUCCACACUGUAAACGAUGAUUACUCGAUGUUGGCGAUAGACAGUCAGCGUCCCAGCGAAAGCGAUAAGUAAUCCACCUGGGGAGUACGCUCGCAAGAGUGAAACUCAAAUGAAUUGACGGAA